GGCGAGUUUGAUCAUGGCUCAGGACGAACGCUGGCGGCGUGCUUAACACAUGCAAGUCGAGCGGUAAGGCCCUUCGGGGUACACGAGCGGCGAACGGGUGAGUAACACGUGAGCAAUCUGCCCUUCACAUCGGGAUAACCCCCGGAAACGGGAGCUAAUACCGGAUACGACCACUUCAGGCAUCUGAUGGUGGUGGAAAGUUCCGGCGGUGAAGGAUGAGCUCGCGGCCUAUCAGCUUGUUGGUGGGGUAAUGGCUCACCAAGGCGUCGACGGGUAGCCGGCCUGAGAGGGUGACCGGCCACACUGGGACUGAGACACGGCCCAGACUCCUACGGGAGGCAGCAGUGGGGAAUAUUGCACAAUGGGCGAAAGCCUGAUGCAGCAACGCCGCGUGAGGGAUGACGGCCUUCGGGUUGUAAACCUCUUUUAGUAAGGAAGAAGGGGAGCUUGCUCCUUGACGGUACUUGCAGAAAAAGGACCGGCUAACUACGUGCCAGCAGCCGCGGAA
rnacentral:rRNA from 1 species